rnacentral:lncRNA from 1 species
AUACCAACCUUCCGGAUCGAUCACCAUCCUCGUGAUGAUCUUAUGGUCAGGAGCUGUUUAUGAGUUAGUUAUGUAAAUUCAUGCCUUAAAUUUUUAACUCUUGAAAAUAUGAAUUGACAUUCUACUAAAUCAAAGGAUGUAUCACAGAUACAAUGUACACAAUGUGAUAGAAGAAUAACCCAUUUAUUGAUUUAUAAUCAAAAUUAUAAAUUUGCCCUUAGAUUUGUACAGGAAUGUGUCAGCCAAUCUGGCAUCUAGGGUACACAUCUAACAAAAUCCCACU